rnacentral:rRNA from 1 species
GGGUUGUGAGGUUAAGCGACUAAGCGUACACGGUGGAUGCCCUGGCAGUCAGAGGCGAUGAAGGACGUGCUAAUCUGCGAUAAGCGUCGGUAAGGUGAUAUGAACCGUUAUAACCGGCGAUUUCCGAAUGGGGAAACCCAGUGUGAUUCGUCACACUAUCAUUAACUGAAUCCAUAGGUUAAUGAGGCGAACCGGGGGAACUGAAACAUCUAAGUACCCCGAGGAAAAGAAAUCAACCGAGAUUCCCCCAGUAGCGGCGAGCGAACGGGGAGCAGCCCAGAGCCUGAAUCAGUGUGUGUGUUAGUGGAAGCGUCUGGAAAGGCGCGCGAUACAGGGUGACAGCCCCGUACACAAAAAUGCACAUGCUGUGAGCUCGAUGAGUAGGGCGGGACACGUGGUAUCCUGUCUGAAUAUGGGGGGACCAUCCUCCAAGGCUAAAUACUCCUGACUGACCGAUAGUGAACCAGUACCGUGAGGGAAAGGCGAAAAGAACCCCGGCGAGGGGAGUGAAAAAGAACCUGAAACCGUGUACGUACAAGCAGUGGGAGCACGCUUAGGCGUGUGACUGCGUACCUUUUGUAUAAUGGGUCAGCGACUUAUAUUCUGUAGCAAGGUUAACCGAAUAGGGGAGCCGAAGGGAAACCGAGUCUUAACUGGGCGUUAAGUUGCAGGGUAUAGACCCGAAACCCGGUGAUCUAGCCAUGGGCAGGUUGAAGGUUGGGUAACACUAACUGGAGGACCGAACCGACUAAUGUUGAAAAAUUAGCGGAUGACUUGUGGCUGGGGGUGAAAGGCCAAUCAAACCGGGAGAUAGCUGGUUCUCCCCGAAAGCUAUUUAGGUAGCGCCUCGUGAAUUCAUCUCCGGGGGUAGAGCACUGUUUCGGCAAGGGGGUCAUCCCGACUUACCAACCCGAUGCAAACUACGAAUACCGGAGAAUGUUAUCACGGGAGACACACGGCGGGUGCUAACGUCCGUCGUGAAGAGGGAAACAACCCAGACCGCCAGCUAAGGUCCCAAAGUCAUGGUUAAGUGGGAAACGAUGUGGGAAGGCCCAGACAGCCAGGAUGUUGGCUUAGAAGCAGCCAUCAUUUAAAGAAAGCGUAAUAGCUCACUGGUCGAGUCGGCCUGCGCGGAAGAUGUAACGGGGCUAAACCAUGCACCGAAGCUGCGGCAGCGACGCUUAUGCGUUGUUGGGUAGGGGAGCGUUCUGUAAGCCUGUGAAGGUGUACUGUGAGGUAUGCUGGAGGUAUCAGAAGUGCGAAUGCUGACAUAAGUAACGAUAAAGCGGGUGAAAAGCCCGCUCGCCGGAAGACCAAGGGUUCCUGUCCAACGUUAAUCGGGGCAGGGUGAGUCGACCCCUAAGGCGAGGCCGAAAGGCGUAGUCGAUGGGAAACAGGUUAAUAUUCCUGUACUUGGUGUUACUGCGAAGGGGGGACGGAGAAGGCUAUGUUGGCCGGGCGACGGUUGUCCCGGUUUAAGCGUGUAGGCUGGUUUUCCAGGCAAAUCCGGAAAAUCAAGGCUGAGGCGUGAUGACGAGGCACUACGGUGCUGAAGCAACAAAUGCCCUGCUUCCAGGAAAAGCCUCUAAGCAUCAGGUAACAUCAAAUCGUACCCCAAACCGACACAGGUGGUCAGGUAGAGAAUACCAAGGCGCUUGAGAGAACUCGGGUGAAGGAACUAGGCAAAAUGGUGCCGUAACUUCGGGAGAAGGCACGCUGAUAUGUAGGUGAAGCGACUUGCUCGUGGAGCUGAAAUCAGUCGAAGAUACCAGCUGGCUGCAACUGUUUAUUAAAAACACAGCACUGUGCAAACACGAAAGUGGACGUAUACGGUGUGACGCCUGCCCGGUGCCGGAAGGUUAAUUGAUGGGGUUAGCGCAAGCGAAGCUCUUGAUCGAAGCCCCGGUAAACGGCGGCCGUAACUAUAACGGUCCUAAGGUAGCGAAAUUCCUUGUCGGGUAAGUUCCGACCUGCACGAAUGGCGUAAUGAUGGCCAGGCUGUCUCCACCCGAGACUCAGUGAAAUUGAACUCGCUGUGAAGAUGCAGUGUACCCGCGGCAAGACGGAAAGACCCCGUGAACCUUUACUAUAGCUUGACACUGAACAUUGAGCCUUGAUGUGUAGGAUAGGUGGGAGGCUUUGAAGUGUGGACGCCAGUCUGCAUGGAGCCGACCUUGAAAUACCACCCUU